rnacentral:rRNA from 1 species
AGAUAGAGUCUUCCCCUUCGGGGGACAAAGUGACAGGUGGUGCAUGGUUGUCGUCAGCUCGUGUCGUGAGAUGUUGGGUCAAGUCCCGCAACGAGCGCAACCCUUAAGCUUAGUUGCCAGCAUUAAGUUGGGCACUCUAAGUUGACUGCCGGUGACAAACCGGAGGAAGGUGGGGAUGACGUCAAAUCAUCAUGCCCCUUAUGAUUUGGGCUACACACGUGCUACAAUGGACAAUACAAAGGGCAGCUAAACCGUGAGGUCAUGCAAAUCCCAUAAAGUUGUUCUCAGUUCGGAUUGUAGUCUGCAACUCGACUACAUGAAGCCGGAAUCGCUAGUAAUCGUAGAUCAGCAUGCUACGGUGAAUACGUUCCCGGGUCUUGUACACACCGCCCGUCACACCACGAGAGUCUGUAACACCCGAAGCCGGUGGAGUAACCAUUUAUGGAGCUAGCCGUCGAAGGUGGGACAAAUGAUUGGGGUGAAGUCGUAACAAGGUAGCCGUAUCGGAAGGUGC